rnacentral:piRNA from 1 species
UAUAUUUUGUGUGUUGUUGUGA